rnacentral:lncRNA from 1 species
CCGGAGCCAUACACUCACCUGGUUGAAGCCAUAAAGAGUUCAAUAUUUCAAGUGAAAAUCUGCCUGUUCGAAAAGAAAAUAUUCACAAAUGAGCAGUGUAUUAGAAGACAACUGAAUUGCUUCUAAGAAUGGGUCUCACUCUGCCAUCACCCAGGCUGGAGUGUGGUGGCACCAUCAUGGCUCACUGCAGCCUUGAACUCCUGAGCUCAAGUCAUCCUCCCACCUCAGCCUUCCGAGUAGCUGGAACUGCAGGUGUGAGCCACCAUGCCUGGCUGAUUUGUCUUUUUAAAUUUUUUAUAGAGACCGAGUCUCAACUAUAUUGUCCAGGCUGGAAAAGAACUUCUUUCCCUCCAAGUGAUAACCUUUUCCAGACAAGUCAGCUUAAAAACUGACCCAAAGGCCCUGAAGUACACAGUUUUCUUGGAGAAAGAAAAAAAUAAGUGAAAAGGACUUGCUGACUUGCUAAUUCAUUUUGGGGCCUGUGGGUAACAUCAGAAUGGCAAAGCACUUGGGGCUUUUUUCUAAUUUGUAUUUUUUUAAUCUUCUGAGAAAUGACUUUUAUAUGCCAAGAUUCAUUCCAUGAUUAGUUUUUAUGACCAAGUUAUGAACGCUUUUGAAUAUGGGGACCUAGAAUAGAAAUGCUAACCUACCUGCAAGGAGAGCUCUGUGAUUGGCAUCCCCAUCAUGCUGUAACUGACACAAAAUAAACUUAGGGUAAUUGCCGCAUAGUGUAACUUUAAUGUGUGAGCAUACUGUAACAUCUGACAAGCUUCUUGAUCUAGAUCAGCAAUGUGUAACCCAUUCAUUGUUGUCACUCUCAACAAGGCCUUAUGGUCAAACAUCAUCACUCUCACUAAAGAGAUAGUUUACUGAAAUAUACUGAGAUUUUGAAACUGGAGUCAAGAGGUAGCACACUGUUUUAUGUUGAUCCAUUUAAUGGUCCUUGACAGCCAAUAAAAAGACACUGGAA